AAAAGUUUAGUUAAAACUAUAACAUUAGUAAGUCAUACUUAAAUUAUCUUAAAAUAACUUUUA
rnacentral:tRNA from 1 species